rnacentral:rRNA from 1 species
GAUGAACGCUAGCGAUAGGCUUAACACAUGCAAGUCGAGGGGCAGCAUGGUCUUAGCUUGCUAAGGCUGAUGGCGACCGGCGCACGGGUGCGUAACGCGUAUGCAACUUGCCUCACAGAGGGGGAUAACCCGUCGAAAGACGGACUAAUACCGCGUACACUCUAUGUUGGGCAUCCAAUGUAGAGGAAAUGAAAUUCGCUGUGAGAUAGGCAUGCGUCCCAUUAGCUAGUUGGUGAGGUAACGGCUCACCAAGGCGACGAUGGGUAGGGGAACUGAGAGGUUGAACCCCCACACUGGUACUGAGACACGGACCAGACUCCUACGGGAGGCAGCAGUGAGGAAUAUUGGUCAAUGGGCGAGAGCCUGAACCAGCCAAGUCGCGUGAAGGAUGACUGUCUUAUGGAUUGUAAACUUCUUUUAUACGGGAAUAACAAGAGCCACGUGUGGCUCCCUGCAUGUACCGUAUGAAUAAGCAUCGGCUAACUCCGUG